rnacentral:rRNA from 1 species
UCCUGUCUGAAUAUGGGGGGCCCAUCCUCCAAGGCUAAAUACUCCUGACUGACCGAUAGUGAACCAGUACCGUGAGGGAAAGGCGAAAAGAACCCCGGCGAGGGGAGUGAAAAAGAACCUGAAACCGUGUACGUACAAGCAGUGGGAGCACGCUUAGGCGUGUGACUGCGUACCUUUUGUAUAAUGGGUCAGCGACUUAUAUUCUGUAGCAAGGUUAACCGAAUAGGGGAGCCGAAGGGAAACCGAGUCUUAACUGGGCGUUAAGUUGCAGGGUAUAGACCCGAAACCCGGUGAUCUAGCCAUGGGCAGGUUGAAGGUUGGGUAACACUAACUGGAGGACCGAACCGACUAAUGUUGAAAAAUUAGCGGAUGACUUGUGGCUGGGGGUGAAAGGCCAAUCAAACCGGGAGAUAGCUGGUUCUCCCCGAAAGCUAUUUAGGUAGCGCCUCGUGAAUUCAUCUCCGGGGGUAGAGCACUGUUUCGGCAAGGGGGUCAUCCCGACUUACCAACCCGAUGCAAACUGCGAAUACCGGAGAAUGUUAUCACGGGAGACACACGGCGGGUGCUAACGUCCGUCGUGAAGAGGGAAACAACCCAGACCGCCAGCUAAGGUCCCAAAGUCAUGGUUAAGUGGGAAACGAUGUGGGAAGGCCCAGACAGCCAGGAUGUUGGCUUAGAAGCAGCCAUCAUUUAAAGAAAGCGUAAUAGCUCACUGGUCGAGUCGGCCUGCGCGGAAGAUGUAACGGGGCUAAACCAUGCACCGAAGCUGCGGCAGCGACGCUUAUGCGUUGUUGGGUAGGGGAGCGUUCUGUAAGCCUGCGAAGGUGUGCUGUGAGGCAUGCUGGAGGUAUCAGAAGUGCGAAUGCUGACAUAAGUAACGAUAAAGCGGGUGAAAAGCCCGCUCGCCGGAAGACCAAGGGUUCCUGUCCAACGUUAAUCGGGGCAGGGUGAGUCGACCCCUAAGGCGAGGCCGAAAGGCGUAGUCGAUGGGAAACAGGUUAAUAUUCCUGUACUUGGUGUUACUGCGAAGGGGGGACGGAGAAGGCUAUGUUGGCCGGGCGACGGUUGUCCCGGUUUAAGCGUGUAGGCUGGUUUUCCAGGCAAAUCCGGAAAAUCAAGGCUGAGGCGUGAUGACGAGGCACUACGGUGCUGAAGCAACAAAUGCCCUGCUUCCAGGAAAAGCCUCUAAGCAUCAGGUAACAUCAAAUCGUACCCCAAACCGACACAGGUGGUCAGGUAGAGAAUACCAAGGCGCUUGAGAGAACUCGGGUGAAGGAACUAGGCAAAAUGGUGCCGUAACUUCGGGAGAAGGCACGCUGAUAUGUAGGUGAAGUCCCUUGCGGAUGGAGCUGAAAUCAGUCGAAGAUACCAGCUGGCUGCAACUGUUUAUUAAAAACACAGCACUGUGCAAACACGAAAGUGGACGUAUACGGUGUGACGCCUGCCCGGUGCCGGAAGGUUAAUUGAUGGGGUCAGCGCAAGCGAAGCUCUUGAUCGAAGCCCCGGUAAACGGCGGCCGUAACUAUAACGGUCCUAAGGUAGCGAAAUUCCUUGUCGGGUAAGUUCCGACCUGCACGAAUGGCGUAAUGAUGGCCAGGCUGUCUCCACCCGAGACUCAGUGAAAUUGAACUCGCUGUGAAGAUGCAGUGUACCCGCGGCAAGACGGAAAGACCCCGUGAACCUUUACUAUAGCUUGACACUGAACAUUGAGCCUUGAUGUGUAGGAUAGGUGGGAGGCUUUGAAGUGUGGACGCCAGUCUGCAUGGAGCCGGCCUUGAAAUACCACCCUUUAAUGUUUGAUGUUCUAACGUGGACCCGUGAUCCGGGUUGCGGACAGUGUCUGGUGGGUAGUUUGACUGGGGCGGUCUCCUCCUAAAGAGUAACGGAGGAGCACGAAGGUUGGCUAAUCCUGGUCGGACAUCAGGAGGUUAGUGCAAUGGCAUAAGCCAGCUUGACUGCGAGCGUGACGGCGCGAGCAGGUGCGAAAGCAGGUCAUAGUGAUCCGGUGGUUCUGAAUGGAAGGGCCAUCGCUCAACGGAUAAAAGGUACUCCGGGGAUAACAGGCUGAUACCGCCCAAGAGUUCAUAUCGACGGCGGUGUUUGGCACCUCGAUGUCGGCUCAUCACAUCCUGGGGCUGAAGUAGGUCCCAAGGGUAUGGCUGUUCGCCAUUUAAAGUGGUACGCGAGCUGGGUUUAGAACGUCGUGAGACAGUUCGGUCCCUAUCUGCCGUGGGCGCUGGAGAACUGAGGGGGGCUGCUCCUAGUACGAGAGGACCGGAGUGGACGCAUCACUGGUGUUCGGGUUGUCAUGCCAAUGGCACUGCCCGGUAGCUAAAUGCGGAAGAGAUAAGUGCUGAAAGCAUCUAAGCACGAAACUUGCCCCGAGAUGAGUUCUCCCUGACCCUUUAAGGGUCCUGAAGGAACGUUGAAGACGACGACGUUGAUAGGCCGGGUGUGUAAGCGCAGCGAUGCGUUGAGCUAACCGGUACUAAUGAACCGUGAGG